rnacentral:rRNA from 1 species
GACGAACGCUGGCGGCGUGCUUAACACAUGCAAGUCGAACGGAAAGGCCCUGCUUUUGUGGGGUGCUCGAGUGGCGAACGGGUGUGUAACACGGGAGUAACCUGCCCUUGUCUUUGGGAUAACUUCAGGAAACUGGGGCUAAUAUCGGAUAGGAGCUCCUGCUGCAUGGUGGGGGUUGGAAAGUUUCGGCGGUUGGGGAUGGACUCGCGGCUUAUCAGCUUGUUGGUGGGGUAGUGGCUUACCAAGGCGUUGACGGGUAGCCGGCCUGAGAGGGUGACCGGCCACAUUGGGACUGAGAUACGGCCCAGACUCCUACGGGAGGCAGCAGUGGGGAAUAUUGCACAAUGGGCGGAAGCCUGAUGCAGCAACGCCGCGUGCGGGAUGACGGCCUUCGGGUUGUAAACCGCUUUCGCCUGUGACGAAGCGUGAGUGACGGUAAUGGGUAAAGAAGCACCGGCUAACUACGUG